UACAGCCAUAUCAGGCUGAAACAGCAGUUCCCAUAUGAUCACUGAAGUUAAGUAACGUUGUAUCUGGUCAGUACCCAGAUAGGUGACUACUUGGUAAUACCAGGUGCUGUAAG